rnacentral:tRNA from 1 species
AGCAAAGUCAGCUAAAUAAGCUAUCGGGCCCAUACCCCGAAAAUGCCACCCGGCCUUUGCUA